UAGCUUUGAUAGCUCUGAUAGCCUUUGUUAGCUUUGAUAGCUCUGAUAGCCUUUGCUAGCUUUGAUAGCUCUGAUAGCCUUUGUUUUGAUAGCUCUGACAACCUUUGAUAGCUUGUGUCACUCACUUUGUCCCUGUGAGGGAUCGUUGAAUCUCUGUCAGAGAUUUGUUGUUUGUUUUUGUGUACCCUGUUCUGAAAGUCUAUUUUUGUUUAGUACCUUUUUGUUGUAAGUCCCUACAUUUUGACUAUUAAUUUUUACCCUCUUUAUUUUGUUGAACCCAAACAAUAAACCUCUAAAUUGUUAAACCUUACCACCUAGGUUUCUUUAAUGUUACUUCCCUUUCCCCUGGCCAAGCCGGGUCGUAACAAUUGUUCUUUAAUUU